rnacentral:tRNA from 1 species
AGUCGGGAUAGCUCAGCUGGUAGAGCAGAGGACUGAAAUCCUCGUGUC